UUGACGAAAUAGAAGGGGAUAUAGCUUUACACGAUAUAGAAGACAACUGGAGGUCUCUACGAGACAACCUGCUAAGGGCCACUGACCAGAUCUGUGGAUGGUGCAAAGUCCCCUCUCAACCCAAAAUAACGUGGUGGUGGAACAAUGUUGUUGACAGGGCUAUUAGAGAAAAGAGACAACAUUUAUUAGAAAAAUAU